rnacentral:lncRNA from 1 species
UCUUUCUUUAACAUUAAAGAAAAUAACAACUGAUAGUCGAAGGAAAUGCUACUGAUCCUAAGACGAUCCAUGAGUGUUCAAAAUCACCAACAGCAAUUCUCUAUUGAUUGUUUAGGCAUAUCAAUCCAAGAACUGCACGUCUCUACGUUAAUUAUUGGAAAUAGAUUCUAUUUCGAAGGGCUUUGUUGAAAGAACCAAGGCAUGUAAAGUCCUCACGACGUCAGUUGCGUCCUUUCUCGACCGCGCAGGCAGUGGUGCCCACUCAUUGAACGAAUCCCAAUUUAUCAAGACGAACAUAAAGAUGAAAGAGAAUUUUUUACCAGUUUAAAAGUCACUGUAUAUUGUCUGUAUUGAUCAUAACAUGCUAAUGAAAAACAUUCCUUCCAGCAUUCGAACCAUCCCAUAAACAGACACGAGAACACCAAAUUCUCCCUCGAAACCCAACAAAAAAGUGGGUACCGAAAAUCGGAAAGACAUACCUCGAGGUCGUGGGUGUGAUGUAAGAUGUCUCUACUCCAAGACUGGCCAGUCCUGAUUGUUAUUGGUUUGUCCAGAUUAUUUAUCGCAAUCAUUGUGUCCGA